CUAACAAUUGUAGUCCGCUUAAUACAGCGUUAGUGCGUCAAGCGAAGCUUGAUGCAUCUUGCAGGGUGCAAGUCCCUGUCAGGCAAGGUUUAACCAACCACCUGUAUCGAGUGUUGCGCCUUUGGCGGAGUUUGAGAUUAGCCGAUGCUUUUCAGUGAGCGAUCACAAUCAAGCGAACAAAAUUGGUGAAGCGUACACAGAGAAUUAUAUAGGCCAUAGGGGUUGUCGUGAUCCUGAAGUACUGGUAUCGCUCCGAUAAAUAUUAGGUCUGACUGACGAGGUUUGUAACGCCAUCGAAGUCCAUGCAAAGCAGCCGUGUUGGUAAGGUUGUGGCGAGUCAGCGGGGUUAUCAAGUCGUGGCAUGUAUAAAGAGAUGUAUUGAGAACUUGAGAGAUCCAAAGGUGCUCCACAAGGAUAGUGGUAGGGAAGUCUAGCCAAAAGCAAGACGAACGAUGGCCCUCUGGAAGUCAGAUCAGCCCAUAGUAGUCGGAGCUGGGGAAAGCCUUGUACAUGGCGAAGGAGCUGACAGUUA
rnacentral:misc_RNA from 1 species